rnacentral:rRNA from 1 species
CCUACGGGAGGCAGCAGUGAGGAAUAUUGGUCAAUGGACGAGAGUCUGAACCAGCCAAGUAGCGUGAAGGAUGACUGCCCUAUGGGUUGUAAACUUCUUUUAUAUGGGAAUAAAAUGUUCCACGUGUGGGAUUUUGUAUGUACCAUAUGAAUAAGGAUCGGCUAACUCCGUGCCAGCAGCCGCGGUAAUACGGAGGAUCCGAGCGUUAUCCGGAUUUAUUGGGUUUAAAGGGAGCGUAGGUGGAUUGUUAAGUCAGUUGUGAAAGUUUGCGGCUCAACCGUAAAAUUGCAGUUGAAACUGGCAGUCUUGAGUGCAGUAGAGGUGGGCGGAAUUCGUGGUGUAGCGGUGAAAUGCUUAGAUAUCACGAAGAACUCCGAUUGCGAAGGCAGUUCACUGGACUGCAACUGACACUGAGGCUCGAAAGUGUGGGUAUCAAACAGGAUUAGAUACCCCUGUAGUC